rnacentral:lncRNA from 1 species
CUACCAAACAAAAGCAUUUUAGGGUUUAAUUUUGUUCUCGUCUUGCCUCUUUUAAAUGACAUGAGCCGUUACAAGAUAAUAUUAUGACCCGUCAUAAAAUGAUAUUACGAACCAAAAGAAUAAUUAUUCAGGAUGUUUAGAUUUGGUAUUCGUACUGUGAACUGAUUUAGACACAAGGAAGCUGUUGACGGGGAGGGAUCAGGGGAAAAUUGAAAGUUCAGUAAAAAGAGAAUUUUUUAUUUGUGUUUAUAAAAUAAUUUUCUCUUUGUUUUGGUCAAAACAUUACCCCCAAGAAAUCGAGUUCAUUAAAUCAAUGAUCAUUAAACUUUAUCUUAAAUUACUACAAGAAUUUUAUGUUUUCCCUACAAAGUAUAUUUGUAAGGAGAAAUUAUUAUUUGUGGAAAAAAUAAGAAACAUCAGAAUUGGGAGGGUUGUAACUUGUACAAUGUAAUUGCAGGUACACUCAAAAUAUACGAAAGUGCAAAUGAAAUGCUCGACAACAAUAAUUUUUUGGAUCGUUGAUUAUACACGGGAAAAAGACAAUUUCAUGAGGAACCAUGAAAGACUUGAAAUGACCAUUACAACUACAAGGACAAUCACUAUGGUCAUUGGAUUAAACUGGAUUUCCAUGAUGUUUAAAGAUUAAUUACAAGCUUGGACUAGAAUAUAUUUGUGUGUGUGUGUGUGUGUGUGUGUGUGUGUGUAUCGAGAGAGAGAGAGAGAGAGAGAGAGAUUAUUGAUUUUUGCAGUGCAUUAGGGCUUGUAGAGACAAGUCACCUUGGCACUUGAUUUGAUAAAUUAUUGAUUUUUGCUGUCCAUUAGGGCUUGUAGAGACAAGUCACCUUGGCACUUGAUUUGAUAAAUUAUUGAUUUUUAUAGUUAAUUUUUGUGAUUAGGGAUUAAGAAACAAAGAUUCCGUGUAGGUUAAAAAAUAAUAUUAUGUACCAAAAAGAAGUGAAAAAUAAUAAUAUCAGUUGGAAUGAGAUGAUGUACUUUAGCGGACUUUUAAGGCAUGAGAUCCAAAGUUGAAAAAAUUUUAAGGCAGUAAAGAGAAAUCGCAUGCCACUUUUAAGUUCAGGUUGUAGACUUGUCGUUAUCACAAAAUACCUAAAGCCGUUGUCUGAAUUUGAUAUUUUCUUUCUUCAACCCUGCUUUUUGGUCCAAAUGGCUUUUCUGUUCUUUAAAUAAGAAAGAUUGCUGGAAUAUUGUUAAUUGAGAGUGAUGGAGAACGUGGGAAUGUCUAAAUAAUAAAAGUUCCACUUUUGCAUGGGCUAAUAAAAGACACGGAGACGUCAACAUCUUGUCAGUCUUGAUAAAUUUGCGUGCAUAAUCUUGAUUCCCUGAUUACACAUUUGGAAUGAUCAAAAUCUGAUCAUUGUCCUAUUCUUCUUCUGCCUUUGAAGCAACUCGCGAAGCAAAUGGUGAACUUCUAAUGGAGUCUCUCAUCUUUGGGGACAAAGGAUGACUUAUUCAGAAUCCCAUAAGAGGCUGGUGAGGAACAUGUAGUCCCAGUCCUUGAAAACUUCUAUACAUCUCUCCCAUGAGCUUGUUCAAUGUCAGUCAGGGUUGAGCAGUUGGAAAAUGUUCAAGUUUCGAAUCGGAUGGGAGAGUUGCAGAGAAACAAUAGCUUCUUGUUGACCUACAUGCUUAUCCUCUAUAUGGGCCAUCCGUGGCUGCUAUAAAUGGGUUGGAACACGACAUUGAAGUCUUGUUUGAGCGAAAGGAAGUGUAUUGGACACAACAGUCACAAGCUGAACGGUUCAAACCGUGGGACCAGAACACUAAAUUCAUUCAUGCGAAGGAAUCUACCAGGAUGAUAAAGAAUGAUUUAUCUAGUAUCCAGAAUGAGGCUGGUGUGAGGGUCGGGAAAAUAUAGUCCCAUUGCUUCAAAACUUCCAUACAUCUCGCAUGAGCUCGUUCAGUGUCAAUCAGAAUUAGGCAGUUGUAGAAGGUUCAAGUUUGGUAAAUGUAUGGGAUAGCUGUGAGAGGAAAAGCACAUUGAUGUCUUGCCUAAGCAAGACGAUAUGUACUGAAGACAACAGUCAGGGGCUGAAUGGCUCAAAAUAUGGGAUCCUAACACUAAAUUCUUACAUGCCUGCACAAGGAGGAUAUGAUGUCAUUCUUUAAGAUUACAAGUAAAAAUUGCCAACCUUGACUGCAUCACAAUUAGUUAAACAAUUAGAAUGUAACUUCAUAGUAAUAAGAUACGAUAAAGAAUGAUUUAUCUAGAAUCCAGAAUGAGGCUGGGGAUUGGCUUGAGAGUGAGAAACAUGUAGUUCCAUUGCUUGAAAACUGUUAAACAUCUCUACUCUCAAUUACGAGGCUUAAUGAGGAAGAGUUGGAGGCUGGAAAGUGUGGGAUUUCUGCUACAUUGUAUCCAUUGCAUAAGGCUUGGAUUGACGUCCCUCUCUCUUUGGACAAAAUUGAAGCAUAUGGGACCAAACUAAAACACCAAGUAUGGAUGGGUUUCAUGUUUUAUUUUUUCCAAAACACUGGUCUGUUGUAGGUAUGAUGGUUUGUUCGGCUUGUCUUAACGUUCUCAUAAUGGCAAAUCAGCCAGACAUACAAAUGAUACUACCCUUUUUUUUAAUUUCAAAAUAAAGCAUCCUAUACUUAUCUGAGACUAUAGACUCGUAAGUUUGUGCAAUGUGGUGUACAAAUGAUCACAAAAAUAAUUAAACACAGGCUCAAGAAACUUCUACCCAACUUUAUAUCUGGAAAACAAUGUACAUUUUUCCCUGGCGGACGUAUUACAGACAACGUCAUUGUUGGUCAGGAUUUGGCACAUUCAUUGGGUAAGAAGAAUGGUGGAAGCAAAGCCUUCAUGCUGCUUAAACUCAACAUGAGUAAAGUUUAUGAUCGAGUGAAGUGGGUGUUUGUAGGCCGUGUUAUGGAGAAAAUAGAAUUUCCUAGUGGCUGGGUGAAUUUGGUGAUGACAUGAUCUCAAUGGCCAAAUUUAAGUUCAAUUUCAAUGAGGCUCCUAAGAAGAGUCAUCCAUGGCAGGGGCUUCGGAAGAGCUGCCCAUUAUCCCCAUAUCUUUUCAUCCUGUGUGCAUAGUCCCUCUCUUUUUUUAAUUUACAAGGCAGAGGUCGAGGGUAAGAUUGUCGAAGCAGAGUGCUCAAGGGUGGGACCCUGGGUCAGUUACAUGUUUUUCACACAUGACUCCAUUGUACUUUCUCAUGCUAGAAACUCGGACUGUCAAGCUGCCCCGAGUAAUAUUUCGACAUAUGAGAGGUCAUAAUGUCAAGUGGUUAAUUUGGAUAAAUUUUUGAUGACUUUCAGACCUAAUGUUAUUCUUGAGCACAAGGCUUUAAUCCAGAAUAUACUCCGUCUUCGGGAUGCUUGGCCUCAUGAAAGAUACUUAAGAAUGGAUUUCAUUGUUGGGAAGAACAAAAGGGCAACUUUGAGCAAUUGAAAGGAAGAGUACGGAUGAGGGUGCAAGG